rnacentral:piRNA from 1 species
UGUUACCAACAGAGACAAGUCAACAGCCUG